GUUAGAUCGCUUCCUCAUGUAGGACGGUCGGGGCAGCCUUACGAACAAAGAUUAAACAAUCCGAGAUGGAGGCAGUGAAUUUAACAUUCAUUAAGCUAAAUCUUUUCAUCUGUAUUCCCACUGUGGUGUAUUUAGGACUUGCUAAAUAACCCGUGCAGAGAGCAGUGACCAAGCUCUAUUAAUGAAGAACCGAGGAAGAACAGAAGUUUUUUUACCCACAACAAAGGUAGCAUUGCACCGCUCUGCUGCUGAUCAGUGAAUGGCUUUAGCUUGUAAAGAAGUAAAAUAAAACUCCUUGACAGAGCUGUCGGAUGGCGAGAGUACCGUCAAACCUCCGAAGCAUUUAAACGCAUCACACCACGAAUGUGGAAGUGUUUGUCAAAGCUGAUUUCCUGUUACGACUGCGAUGGCUGCUGAAAAGUAUCUACCGUUUUACUCGACUUUGCUGUUUGCUGUCGUUUGUGCAGGUUACAUUUAGUUGUUAUAAGGUCAAACAUGUUUUAAAGCUGCUGUUUUUUUUAAUCCUGUUUGUAACAACGGAAAGUAGCGUUUGGUUUAAGAGUGACUCAGUUACUGGCAUCUCUGGCGGCACCUUUAGUUGCCACAACUUACAGCAGCUUUGUCAGUAAUGCGUUAAAGAGUGAUGUUGAAUUUAACUCCAGAGUAGGGCCGCAACGGUUCAACGAGUAUUUCAAACAAUUCAAUUAUAAUAAAAUUAGCCACACAUAACUGUUAACUUUUAAAUUAUAAAGCAGGCGGACUGCAGCCGUCCUAUUUUACAGGGCAUGACGUGUAGAUCAGAUUAAUUUCAAAGCUUUUGUAACAUUUUUCAGAUUUGAAAGUGAAACAAUAUAAAAUACUGUCUCAAUUAAAUUGCGUUAGUAUUUAAAAACGUAAAAAUAAAAGCUUUUUUCACAAGUAAAUAAAUAAGGUUGGUUGAGGUGAUGCAGGAUGUAGUGCAGUCCCAUACUGAUGCAUCCUCCGCUGACCGGUUUGCUCAGUAGUGAACCUGCAGGGAGUCCAGCAGGGGCUCUCAUGUCCUUCAGGUGGCUCAACAUGAGUCUUUCAAAGGACGUCAUGACCACAGACGUCAGGGAGACAGACCUGUAGUCAUUUAAUCCUGUCAUAGUGGACUUCUUUGGGACUAGCAGAUUACAAGUAUUACAUUUUUACUACUGUUGUCAUUCGCUGCAACAAUCUCAGAGCUCUUUCUCUGUUCUGUGGGUGAUGCAUGGUUAUUGCUAAUUAGUGGCUCAGUUGGUAGAGGCUCAUUUACCAACUGGAAGAUCAGUGUAUCGAUCACUGGCUCCUGUAGUCUGCGUGCCAAAGUAUCCUCGGGCAAGUAUUUUCUUCUCAGGAUACUGAACCCUGAGUUGUUCCUGAUCAGAGUGUGAGAGUGCAAAUCGUAGAAAAUGCUUAGCCGUAGAAAAAAGUUAUGACUGUGUGUGAAUGAUCAGCUGAUAAGAAGGUUGUUAUUUGAGUAACAGUCGUAUAGAAAGAAAUAUACUGUGUAUGUAUCAGAUACACAUCUGGAUAUCAGAUAAAGAAUAACCUAUACAGUUUUGGUUAGUCUGAAGUUUGCUGACUGGUAAUUAUGUGGUGAUGUAACUCAUGCCAUGUAAUAGAGUAACACAGAAGUAAUGUAACUAAUAAUAAUGAUCCCAAUACUUGUGUGAUGGCAGCAUGGGCCUGGGAGGGCUCUGAUGAACUGUGUGACAAAGAAGUGUAAUGUGUGUGUCAGUGUGAUGUGUUGUAGUUUCAGGAGUCAGUACAGCUACAAAGCUUUUUGGCUACGUUCACACUGCAGGCAAAAGCUCAUCAAAUCCGACUUUUUUGACCCUAUGCGACCCAUAUCCGAUCAUGAAAGCAACUGCUGUUUGAACGGUCAUGUCGCUGACACAAGACAGACGCCAAUUAUCAGCGCCGGAGAAGACAUCGCGAACGCUUCCUGGCCAUCCAGUGUAGAUGUCAGUGAAACUGUUGGGAAGACAACGUUGGAGAAACGUGAACAUUUUAUUUGUACUGUAUAAUCUGCAGAUUCUGACAGAAAUCUGCAACUAUCCUUUGAAGCACCGCUUCUCUAAAACAGCAACAAGGAUCAUUAUUAGGACAUAUGUAAAUAACAAAAUAACUUUAUAAAAAGCAAAAUUGGGAAACAAAGUCCGAGGCAAGUCUUUAUACUAAGGGCCAUCAAUCAAACAGCACUGUUUGGUCUGGGUCUAAACAGAGCACGUUGUGUGUGAAUUGAAGAAAGGCAUACACAAAGCUCUUCCUCCACAGCUCUUAAUCUCUCCCUGAUUUUUAGUUUUUGUGGCAGCCAUGUUCGAAAAGCUUUGCUCACAUAUGUUGUGGAAAAUGGGAGCAAUGUCAAAAUGUCUCUGUUUGCCAGAAUGGGGAACUCCUUGGCAGCAGUCAACCAAAAACUGUCCAAAGAUAGAUCAGCAAAGCUCAGCUUUAAACCACGGUCUUGUCUCAGUUCAGUUAGUUCCUCCUGUUCCUGAAAAGUCAUAUCCUUUCCGAAAACUGCUGCUGAGCUAUAUGGGUCCCUUACCCAGUCAAGGCAUUCAGUGGAGACUGAGGGGAAAUAAAUGGACAACUUCUCCUCAAGCGUUUUCAAAUGUUUACCUAUUAUUUCACACAGUGUGGCAGUUUUGAUAUCUCCUUGCCAUUUCUGAGUGAGUGGGGACAUGCCAAGGUUGGCAUUUUCCAGAUGUUGUUGCCAGAGAUGCACCUUUGAACGUAAUCCAUUUAUUUUAUCUGUGCUUGUGAGCAGUACCAAUCGGACUGAUGAAACAAAGAGCAAUUUCUAGAAUGGAAAGAAAUGAGCAGUUCACUUUUAAAUGAUCCACAUUUAUUUUUUCUACAUGCAGCCUGGGUGGGGUGAUUUUGAGGACCCAAAAUGCAGACAAGAAAUACAGGCAGUAGUUUAAAAAUAGGUAAUUUAUUUGGCUGUGAAAAAUGAGAUGCAAACAAAGACUGCGUGAAAGGAGGGAAUUUAAGACUAAAUACAAAUGAGAUAAAAUCAAUGCAAAGGAGAUAAGAAGAUAAAUAUACAGAAUGUGAGAAACAAUAACUAAAUGGGGAAACACAGAAACAGGAAUGAACUUCAAUUUUAACAAAUAACUAGAGAAUGGAACAAACACAGGGAACAGAAUGCAACCAGGAACUAACAACUCGAGGCUAAAUAAAGUAAGGCAGCCAUUCAUAAAGUCAAGAGUGCUGCUGUCCACUUAAAAACCAGAAAAUGACAAUAUUCUUCACUUGAAUCAAACUACAAAAGAAAGUGACAUUGAUUUUAAAACUGUAUUUAAAAAAAAUCAUCAACAACAGAGGCUGCUGGCUCUAAAUUGCUGCCCAGUCAUGUGCAAAGUGUUAAUGCUGAUGAUGUGACCAACCUGCCGCUGGGACACAAAAUUUCAAUACAAGGGCAAUAAAUCUGGUCCAGGGUAAUGAGUAAUAUUACACACUAACCACCUCCUAUUACCAAUUUUAUUUUGCCAAAUCCGUUUAUACAUGUGUGUAACUCUGUAUUUCUGUUACUACUGUGGCCCACCUGUAGUACAUUUGCAGUCCACAAGGGGUCGUUGGCCCACACUAUGGGAAUAACGCAGUAAGGAAAUACAUGGAGAAGCAAAUAUAAACAAUAAGCAAAUAAAGAAUGAAAAAAAAGUUUAAAUAAAGAAAACUUGUAUGAUGAUGGUGAGGGACAUGAUGGGCUGGCAGAGCAACAGUUUCCAUUAAAGACUCGGACAGAAACCUGCAAAAGCACACUGAUGGUAAACAACAUGCACUGACAAAAUCAUGUAAUAUGUCUAAUAAAAAUCUAAUAACGUGAAA
ensembl:lncRNA